UGUGUGGAUUCUGCAUAGACCAUAGACCUUGGUUUCCUACUUCAUUGGGAUUCUGCGCGUAACACACCGGAAUCAUUUUAUCGAAAUUUCAUUAUAAUUUUAGUAUAAAAAACUAUAAUGCAGGUAAAAUGCUGCAUUACGAGUCACGUUAGAGGUUUCCGUUUUAAUACGGACCAGAAAUACAAGUGACUUAAUUUAAUUAACUCGUAAUUUUUAACGUUUUGAUGUCACUUUACGAAAGUAAAACUUUAGCUUUUACUUUAUAUAGUGUUUAACGUUAUAAUGGCUGUACAGAACAAAGUUUUAUACGCUUUCCGGGGAUGGAUAGCGUUCGUCGCGUUCAUGGAUUUGGGGACGGCCGGUCGAUCGUAUAUCGAAGGAAGAUCAUUUCUCAAUAACAAUGGAGAGACUGAGCACUUAGACGGUGACUUCACGAUAUCGAGAAUAUUAGGAAUGUAUUCAGUUCUAAAAGCUCUAGCGCUCAUACAUUGCACCUUAUACAUACAUUACAGACCUGUCGUCUCAAUGGGUUACUGGUCGUUGAUUCUAACGAUAAUAUUGUAUUUCACUGAAGCAUUUUACUUUAGAUCAACGAAUCUAAAUUUCUAUGUGGUGUUUCCGUGCGUUUUGAACAUUAUCACACUUCUGGGUCUCGUGUACUUGCCGAACAAGCUGAGACUGUUUGGAACUGUACCCGGCACAUCGGGCAUGGACAGGGAGGUCGAAGACGAAAACGUUCAAAUAUUAAGACAAAUGGGCAAUUUCCGACGCAGAAAAACUGGCAACACUAAGAACAAACACGUCUAGAUUCGCGUGCACUGCCAACACUGAGUCGAAGAGAUCUGUCUUACACUUAUUCUUUGUUUUGCAGACGACCGUAUGGCCAGGGACAGAGCCAAGCCGAUGCCUAAAUUUAAGUACUUCUCCAUAAGCCUCGUUUGAAGAAGGACAUGUCAUAGCGCUCGGGAGACACCGUGGAGGCGAGCCCAUUCCAAAUCCGGAUGGUAUGUGGCAAAUAAGAUGUCUGGAAAUGCACUGCGUGAACAAUUCCUCAGAGCACUCCCCAUGGAACAUACGGUACAAAAUACAGAGGGAACCGAAGUCCCUCCGCAGACCCAGAGGCUCCAUUAUAUGGCUCAUACAAGCGCAUUAUGCUGGAGUACUCCUACAACGUGUUUCCUGUCACAUGGAACCAAUCUUACCAUGUUAUAUGGGGUGAUUACUGUAUUUAUAAUAUUUGUGUGAAAUAUAUAAGACUUGACGGAUUACCUCUGACGGAAGAUUUUCGGCACGAGAAUGUAUGUGCAUAACUUCAAGGAAAUCCGCGAACGACAUCUUCCCCCCUUUGCCCUUCAGAUAACCUGUUGUUCAUUAAUAAAUGUAUAGUUUGAUUC